rnacentral:tmRNA from 1 species
GGGGCCUUAAAGGUUUCGACGGGAUGGUGAACGCCGCCCCGUGAUACAGGUCGAGAGUGAGUCUUCUCUCGGAAAUACCGGACUCAAAAAAAACGUAACUGCGAACAACAUCGUUCCCUUUGCUCGUAAAUCAGCUCCUGUAGCUGCCUAAAAACCUCUUAUAGGUUCGAGCGUCUGUAGUUUGACUCCGUUAAAGAUUACAGACAAACCCCAACGGAUGCACUCUGAAAGCUGCCUUUGGUCGGCUCAAGAGUAAAGACCUUCACCAAAGCAUCCUGUCAUCCGGGAUAAUGGAUGGUUCCCGCCUUGAGGAUUAGAUAGGCUAAACCUGUGAAUGAGCGCUAGGUCAAUAUCCAUUUCGGACACGGGUUCAAUUCCCGUAGGCUCCACUU